AUGCUCACUUCAGCAGCACAUAUACUAAAAUUGGAACCAUACAGAGAAGACUAGCAUGGCCCCCAAGCAAGGAUGACACUUUUAAUAAAUUUUU
rnacentral:snRNA from 1 species